CUCACAGAACAAAGCCCGCCGCUAAACAUGUUGUGGACAUCGAAAGAGAGAAUACUUCAAGCAAGGAAAAAUCGAACAGUUUCGGAUUUUUUGGAGGAAGGUUCGGUCCAGGUCCACCCAGUACUCAUGGUGAUCGACUUCAUACUUUUAAAUGGUGAAGGUAAACAUGUUCUCCUUUUCUUUUUCUCAUACCAUAACACAUAAUGAAGAAUAUAUAACAACUGGAAGUGCCACUAUGUUAGAGCAGUAAAAGCCUAUUGUGAUUGAGAAAUAGUUGUGGGAUUCAAAUUCUCCUUAUGCCCAAAGGAUUCAGAGAAAGGGGGGAAAAAGAAAACAUACAUCUCUCUCUUAUCUCUUACUAUAGCUUUAUAAAUUCCUCAGGAGUCUCGAGUAAAUUUAUAUUCUAUUCUUUUGGUUGUCUGCAAUUGGGUGAUGCAGACUUGAAUAGUGACUUGCAAGGGCAUUACGGCCACCUUUUAUAAUGUUAUCAAAUUCAUUGCUUGGAACAAUUCUUUAAUAAAGAGAGUGCAUGAAUUUGGCAUGCAUAUGGUGGCCUUGUUUUAGUCAUGUAGAUCCUGUUGUCAAUCUUCACUGAUAUGUAUUAAAUUGACAAGGAUGCACCAAAAAUGUUCAUGGUGUUUGACGAGCAUGAAGUUCAUGGUGGUGGAGAGGUUAGAUGAGUUACUCUCGUAGAGAGCAGCAGUACGAUACGAUGUUCUAAUGCAGACGACGCUGAUAACAGAGAUGCUGACAACGACGAUGACGAGGAAUGAGUGAUACUUGAUUAUAUGUAGUUUUCAAUUGUGUGAAGACAUAUUAUGACUUGAAUUUUACCUAUAUGUAAUAUAUUUGUGAUUUUAUUGCGUAGUGAAUGAAUAUUAUUUGAGCAUGCGAGAUGUAUUAUGAUUGUGAUUAUAUGAUGAGUAUUGUUCGAUAUUGUGGAUUGACGGAUGAAAUUGGAUGAGUAUUCAUUUGGAAUGUGAAUGUAUAUCAUGGUUGAUUUUAUGAUAUAUUGUUAAAUAUUAUCAUU